GAGCGAAUUCAAGGAUCAGAAGAGGUUUCUUAUCUUAGUAUAUUUAUUAUCAUUGCUUUUAUGUUAUUGCUUUGUUUUUUAUUCAACAACUUUUGGAUGUGAACCACUUUUUCACCAAAUUUAUGUAUGUUUUUCAUGAGAUUUUCCGUAACAUUUUUUUGGUAUGUGAUUCAUGAUUUUCUCAGAUUUAAUGUUCCAUAAUUGUCAUGGUAUCAUUCACACAGUAUGGAAUUGUGCUCCUGAAUCCUAAUAUACACAUUAACAUGUAUCACACGAUAUGCUUUUAUGGUAGAAGUGAAUUUAGAGAAAUAUAAGGAAAAAGAAUCUAACUUUGGCAGGGUUGUGUUGCAGAAAUUAAUGGUUGUUUGCACAAAAAUUCUGCUGAAGGCUUAGACUAUCUUAUUGUUUUGAGUCUGACUACAUGAAUCUCUUUUUCUCUGUUGUGCUUUAUUUAGGGCCAAAUUUACGUGCUGUUGCCUAAUUGUUUUCUACCAUUUCAACCCAUGCAAUUUUUAAUCUAUCAUUCUUGUUACUUGAAUUCACGCAUUCUUCUGUAUUUGUUGAUACUUAUUGGACAUGACUAAACAAUCUAAAACAACCCUUUAGGCUUUAGCUUAUAUUCAUGGGGUAUCAUGCUGUCUUCCUCUGAAUGGUUCCAUGUUUUUUUGUCUACUACUACUUUAUGUUUCCAUAUAUCUUUCUUAGGAUUUCACUUUGGGUCCACUCACUUUGUGGACAUGCUGUUUAUUGAAUACUUGCUCCUUUUUCAAAUGCUAAAAGUUAGGCUAGAAAAUAGACACAUGCAUUAGAUCAAUUUAUGCAGAAUAGAAAAGAUAAAAGAAUUAUUACAUCAUAAAGGCCCUGAGAUUUUCAGUCCUAAUGGAUGGAGAAUUGGAGAUGGUAAGGCAGCACAAGCUCAGUAUAACAAACGACAACGACAACAACAACAACAACUAAACCUUAAUCCUAAACUAGUUGUGGUUGACCAUGUGGAUUUUUUUUUGCCUUUUAGCUCUGUCACUGUCAGAAGCCAGGUCCACAUCAAUAUCCAAAACUUGCAAAUCCUUUAAUACUACUUCCCUCCACGUCAUCUUAGGCCUCCUCCUUCCUCUACUAAUUUAU
rnacentral:misc_RNA from 1 species